GCUGCUGUAGGGUAGGAGGAGAGAGGUGUUACCUUAUCAGCUGCCUCCUCUCCCAUCCUCUCCUUCUGCAGCAGC
ensembl:miRNA